rnacentral:rRNA from 1 species
CUACGGGUUGCACCAGUGAGGAAUCUUGCGCAAUGGGGGGAACCCUGACGCAGCGACGCCGCGUGUGUGAUGAAGGCCUUCGGGUCGUAAAAUCCUGUCAGAAGGAAAGAAGUGUAUGGUAGCUAAUAUCUGCCAUACUUGACGGUACCUUCAAAGGAAGCACCGGCUAACUCCGUGCCAGCAGCCGCGGUAAUACGGAGGGUGCAAGCGUUGUUCGGAAUUACUGGGCGUAAAGCGCGCGUAGGCGGUUUUAUAAGUCAGAUGUGAAAGUCCACGGCUCAACCAUGGAAGUGCAUUUGAAACUGUAAGACUUGAGUAUUGGAGGGGGUAGUGGAAUUCCCGGUGUAGAGGUGAAAUUCGUAGAUAUCGGGAGGAAUACCGGUGGCGAAGGCGACUAUCUGGCCAAAUACUGACGCUGAGGUGCGAAAGCGUGGGGAGCAAACAGGAUUAAUACCCCUGUAGUC